AAGACAAGAAAUAAAUCUUACUUGAAUGUGUUGCCAGAAAUUUAGAAAUAGCUGGCAAUAAAUAGUAAAGCCAUGCUAUGAGCCUUAAUGGCAUUGAGAUUGUUAAGGUCCCUGAGAGUGACUACCAAA